UGGGGAAUAUUGCACAAUGGGGGAAACCCUGAUGCAGCGACGCCGCGUGAACGAAGAAGGUAUUCGUAUCGUAAAGUUCUGUCCUAUGGGAAGAUAAUGACAGUACCAUAGAAGAAAGCUCCGGCUAAAUACGUGCCAGCAGCUGCGGUAAUACGUAUGGAGCGAGCGUUGUCCGGAAUUAUUGGGCGUAAAGGGUACGCAGGCGGUUUAAUAAGUCGAAUGUUAAAGAUCGGGGCUCAACCCCGUAAAGCAUUGGAAACUGAUAAACUUGAGUAGUGGAGAGGAAAGUGGAAUUCCUAGUGUAGUGGUGAAAUACGUAGAUAUUAGGAGGAAUACCAGUAGCGAAGGCGACUUUCUGGACACAAACUGACGCUGAGGUACGAAAGCGUGGGGAGCAAACAGG
rnacentral:rRNA from 1 species